GUCAGCAAGAGGAAGAUAUUGAGUGUCUAAGAGCAAUUGGAAUGAGAACAUUGAGGAAAGCCUACAGUGUUUUCCUCAUCCACUAGAAGUGGGUUGAAGAUAAUGUUUUUGUGUUUUCCUAGUGCCUCCCAUUCCUAUUGUCCUUAGGUACUCCUUCCUCUUCCUUUCAGCU
rnacentral:pre_miRNA from 1 species